AAUUGAGGGGGGCUGCUCCUAGUACGAGAGGACCGGAGUGGACGCAUCACUGGUGUUCGGGUUGUCAUGCCAAUGGCACUGCCCGGUAGCUAAAUGCGGAAAAGAUAAGUGCUGAAAGCAUCUAAGCACGAAACUUGCCCCGAGAUGAGUUCUCCCUGAGACUUUGAGUCUCCUGAAGGAACGUUAAAGACGAUGACGUUGAUAGGCCGGGUGUGUAAGCGCAGCGAUGCGUUGAGCUAACCGGUACUAAUGAACCGUGAGGCUUAACCUUACAACGCCGAAG
rnacentral:rRNA from 4 species